ensembl:lncRNA
UGUGUGUUCUGUCCAAUAUUUACCCAGCGUUGGGUUACCAAAUAACCCAAAUUGGGUUGUUUUUAACCCAGUCUAGUUGGACCAAGAACAUGUAUUCAGAAUAGCUUCUGAAGUUUUGAAAUAGUAUUUUAAAGGUCUCGAACAGUCAUUCUGAUUCCUAUGUAAAAUAGAAUUUUGAGUGACUAAAACAUCACCCAUAAUAUUUUUUUUUCAGAUAAAAAUGCUCGGAAUUUGAGAAAAAAAACCUUUUCUCUCAUGUCAAACUACCAGGGAGUCUGAAAAGAAAGACUGAGCAGCCGAUGAGCUAAUUGGCUGGUUGGGUGAGGAGCUAAUAGGCUGGGUGGGCGAGGAGCUAAUAGGCUGGGUGGGUGAGGAGCUAAUAGACUGGGUGGGCGAGGAGCUAAUAGACUGGGUGGGCGAGGAGCUAAUAGACUGGGUGGGCGAGGAGCUAAUAGGCUGGGUGGGCGAGGAGCUAAUAGACUGGGUGGGCGAGGAGCUAAUAGGCUGGGUGAGCGAGGAGCUAAUAGGCUGGGUGGGCGAGGAGCUAAUAGGCUGGGUGGGCGAGGAGCUAAAAGGCUGGGUGGGCGGGGAGUUAAAAGGCUGGCUGGGUGGGGA